GCCAGGGUCAAUCUAGCAGAAGAGGCACACGUGGCUGGGGUACUUAGUUACCGCGAUGUUCUGCCUCGGGAAGGUCUGAGAUAAAGUUUGCCUCUCUUCCAACAGGGAGAAGGGACGCUCUAGAAGGGCGAUCCUGUAAAUGGGAUACGAGAAAACCAGAAACAGCGGUAAACCAGCCUUCUGUCGCCGUGGACGCCAAGUGUUUCCCUUCUCCUUCUCUUUCUUCUCUAUGGUUCCUAUUCUAUGGUCCCAUUCUACGCUGUCACGUUCUUCAUAGUUUCUUCAUAGCGUUUGCCUUAUUUUCACGUUUCCUCUCCCGAAUCCCUGCAACUAUGUUUCUUGAGAAUACGAGAGAAAGAGAGAGAAAGAUGGGAAAAACUGGCAGAGGUCGGCUGGCCAUACCGAUGGAAAUUCUCGUGACUCGCAAUUUCAGUACAAUCUGCAAGCCAUCCCUCCGCGUCUAUGUAUCUACACUCGUAUUUCGUGGACUCUUCUAAGGUGGGGUGGAACUCAAUUCAGACUAAUCUGACUCUGGC
rnacentral:RNase_P_RNA from 1 species